GUUUCCUUUCUGUCUCCAAACAGCAGUGAAACCCUACUGCUGCUGUGUUAAGCAUCCCAAGAAUGCCCACCACCUUCCCACGGGUACCAGCAUCAGAGGUAUUUGGCCCACAGACACCUUCCAGCAGCCAGACCCUCAGACACCUCUGAAGAACCAGGUUACUGUUGUUAGAUGUGCAAGGCUGACUCUCAGCAAAUACAAUCCUUUCAAUUCAAAGAGCUACAUGGACUUGAACCAGCCUCUUGCUGGUCCCACAGGAGCCCCCCCAACUGCAGACAGAGAAGGAGAAGUCAUCAGAGCUGCCCUGACCAAGCACACAAGGAAGCACCGCAGUCAUGAUGAACUGGCAAGUUUACAGUGAGUUUGGGGAAAGGAAGCAUUUCACCAGAGCUCUGAAAGUGCUCCCUGAAUAAAGAGCAUCUGAAGUGAACUGAUAAGGCCAGGUGCUCAACUGGAGGCAUGACAGACCUGAAGAAGCCUUAGUGUGGUGAGACCUCAGGUUUCUUAAGUUGGAAAGGGCAACCCAGAGAUAAAAAGCUGUUUGACUAACUGCAACAUAUGGACAGCAAAUGCAGUAACUAUCAACAGAAUGAAAAGAAGAUACUUUAUUUAGUGAGGAACAUUUUCAAGAAAAUAAAAGUACAUCUUAUUUUAAAGUACUUUUCUCAAAGACAGGUAAGCUCAGUUUUACUGUAUAGCACAGGUACACAUUCUAGAGCAUCUUUCAGCUCAUCUGUUUGUAUUUACUGUAAGUGAAUUUACACUAUUUACUGUAAGUGAUCUAUGGCAUGCCAGAAUCCAGGAAACUAUAAAAUCUGUGGAUAAACCUUUACUUUGCAUCUGUCCAGAAUUUCUGAAGAUGAAUCUUUAAGACAGCUUUGGAGGAUAAGGUAAAAUACUACUUGCUGCACAGAAUUCAGUGUUCAAGAAUUAAGCUCUAACUUGUAGUUACGUAGGUUACUAGUUACCACUGCAGGCCCUACCAGCUGAAACUCUCAGUGUGCUAAAGGAUGCCAAACCCACUUGGGCAAGCGUGGACACCAGCAGGUUUCUGACACUGCACUGGGCUUGUGUGACAAUGUUGUGAUAGUGGAGGGGUUACAGGCAUGGCUUCUGUGAGAAACUGCCAGAAGUUUCCCUCAUGUCCAAUAGAGUCAAUGCCAGUCAGCAUCAAGAUGCACCUGCCACUGGCCAAGGUCAAUCCCACCAGCAGCUGUGACAGUGCCUCUGGAAUAACAGUUAAGAAGGGUGGGGUGAAAAAAGCUGUGCAGCAGCAAUUGCAGGUGGAGGGAGGACUAAGAAAGAAUAUGUGAAAGGAACAUCUCUGCAGACACCAAGAUCAGUAGAGAAGGAAGGGCAGGAGGUUCUGCAGGCACCAGAGCUGAAAUUCCCGGGUAGUCCAUGGUGAGGCAGCUGUGCCCCUGUAGCCCAUGGGGGUCCAUAGGGAUGCAGAGAUCCACCUGCAGAGUGUGAAGGACACCACACUGGAGCAAGUGGAUGCCUGAAGGAGGCUGUAUCCCUGUGGAAAGCCCUCACUGGAACAAGCUCCUGGCAGUGACCUGUGGACCCUUGGGAAGAGGAGCCCAUGCUAGAGCAAGUUGGCUGGUAGGACUUGUGAUGCUAUAGGGGGCUCACUCUGGAGCAGGCUGUGCCUGAAGGACUGCACCCCAUGGGAAGGGACUCUUGCUGGUGCAGUGCAGGAAUCCACACUGGUGCAGUUUGUGAAGAACUGUAGCUCGUGGGAAGGCCCCGUGUUGGUGAACCUCAUGGAGGGCUGUGUUCCAUGGCAGGGACCCCACAUUGGAGUAGGGGAAGAGUGUGGAGAGUCCUUUCUCUGAGGAGGAAGGAUCAGCAGAUGCAAUGUGUAAUGAACUGACCAUGACCCACAUUACCCUUCCACCAGCACUGCUCUGAAGAGCAGUUACAGAACUUGGGAGUAAAGUUAAGCCUGAGAAGAAGGAAAGGCUGGGGGGAAAGGUGUUUUAAAAUUUAGGGGUUUUUUAUCAUUAUCUUAC